GCACCAGGAAGUAGCUGGGACCUCUUGGCCGAGCUCAACGACAGCCAGUUCCUCUCCCACCAAGCCCGGCCGGGUACCUCCCUGCAGACGCUCUGCAGCUAAAUAGCCUGCUGCAGGCCGGGCACUGUCCCCCGCGCAGUGUACCCUCAAGCGCCGGCCUCGCGUCUUGCUACUCUGGCCGGCAGCUGCUCCUCAGGCGGGCCCCGCAGGGCCGUCCCGUCGCGUGCACAGCUUUGAACUGAAGUCACCGUGGAGUUCCGCCGCCCCGAAACUUCCACCGCGAGCGAGAAAUAUGGGAUGUAUAAAAUCAAAAAGGAAAGACAAUCUGCAUGACGAUGGAGUAGAUUUGAAGACUCAACCAGUACGUAACACUGACCGAACUAUUUAUGUGAGAGAUCCAACGUCCAAUAAGCAGCAAAGGCCAGUUCCAGAAUCUCAACUUUUACCAGGACAGAGGUUUCAAACAAAAG